rnacentral:lncRNA from 1 species
GAAACACUGUGUUGACAUGUAAGAUCACACAUGAAGAUUUAUUAGUCAUUUUAUAAUAGCAGGGGUCCUAAUAUUUUAGCCCAAUCACAAACGGCGAGGGGAGGGGGGGGGGGCGUGGUGAUAAAAAUCACAUGCAGGCAAAAGUUUGAACCACAAAUUAUGCAUCACUAGCCACUGGUACUUCCUCGUAUCCUUCUAGCUCCUUGAAUCUUUUUGGCAGGAAACAACGACCACCGAAGCGCUGCUGCAGGUAGACGAUAGCAGCAAGAAGAAGGCCCACUAGAGGAAUAAUGACAUCCCAUACAGUGGAAUAAUAAUCUCCACCUGGGUCGGCAUACAUGUAUGAACCAUCAAAAUCUUCAACAUAGGAGUGAACCCUGUAUAUAUCGUAUGCAUGCGGGAGCAAACGCACAAAUGUGGUUCCUAUGUAGAAGAAACGAGAGAGGGCAUUUUCUGUGGAGUUGUGGAAAAUGUUGAGGAGGAUUUGAGGGAAGAGAAAACCAUCGAGUACCAAACCACCAUAAGAUCUUAAAUCCACCCAAUGGGAACGCUGAUAGGUGCUGCUGUAAGUGUACUCCAUGCCCUCACCGACCUUGUUGUUCCUCCAAUUCACAUACACAGCAAUUGAACCUCCAGAUAUAUAUAGUGGCAGAGACAGAUAGAGUGUCCUCUUCUCAGCAGCCAAGAACGCCUUUCGCUUCCCAUCAGCGAAUCGUGCAGACCAUACAAGCUGCAGAAGUCGGAACUGCAGCAGGAAAGCUACCAUCGUGAUUACCCUUACAAUUACCUCAUUCGCUUCCAACCAUCCACCACUCCGUAGAAGGAAUGUUGUGCGACUUUCCUUUGGCACAAACAAAGCUUCAAAAUUCAGCAUUAGAGGGAUCAUGCGCCCGAGAGUAAGGACUAGAAGCAUGAUAAGUGAGAUGAAAGGGAAAACAGCGGGAUGCUUUUUCACAUACAAGAUCUGGUAUCCCACAAAGACACAAACGAGAGUAUUAGAGAUCAAAGACAUGAUGAUCUCCCGAUCCAUCCUCCAUAUUGACUCCCUCGCUGCAGAAAAAGAAAGAGGCUCGAAGUACAGAGGAUCGGAUUUUUCCCCUGUGUAUUCAAUGGUUCCCUGGAUAUAAUCAUUUGAAUCUACUGAAGGGAACUGGACAUUUAUAAGAAUCUUACAGUCCAUUGAAUCAUUGUCUGAUGUCCGAUUGUUUGAGUCAAGAUAUCUGCAGCCCACCAUGCAAAGUUCUCCUGUUUCAGCAUCAUAAAUUCCUUCAGAGAAGACUUGAACAUGAGUAGACUCAUUCAGCGGGAAGCUCAUGCUGUAGCUCAUGUUCAGUGGGAUGCUGUGGUUGGUUUUUCCUUUAACCGGAGAGGAAGCACCCCUCAAGCUUGAUGAAAUCACAAAGCUGUUUUGUCGAGAAAUUUGAUCACCCACAGCGAUGGGCCGAGAGGAGCCCUAUCCUAUUCUUCUUCUCUUGGAGUCCCUGACCACCAUAUUGAACUCCAUGUCAUUCGAAUUUGCAUCUGGAUGCUGCUUUCCUUUGUUCUUUAUGGGCUGCUUCCCUGAGCAUGACGUUCUUGCUUUAUCAACAACAGUGUACUGGUACUUCGACCCGGGGAUCCCAGCUACAAAAUUUUCAUGACUUCGAAACAUGAUCGUAUUGAAGUAACCCAGAUCAUUCUCACGUUUGUUACUCCAAAUAUGCCCCAUCAUACCACUAGUAUUUCUGAUUGACCAAACGGCAGGGAAUCUGAAACUCAACCUCACUGAACAAUCCUCAAUAUGAGAUUUAUUGAACGAGUUGGCUGAAUUCAAGAUUCGACAGCCAACAACACAUAGCUGAUUCUUAUUCACAUCCCAUGAUCCUUCCGCAACCAAUGUUGUGUUUGGAGUGAAGGGGUGGUAAUAAUCACCAUAGCUACUGUUGUGGAACUCUAUCAGGAAUCUCAAUCUUCGUUUAUCUUCUAAACAUUGAAUUAAUUUCAAGGACAUGAUUUGUGGUAAAUAUCCAACACCCUCACCAAAAGGAUUGCAACUACUUGUGGAGUUGCAACCCCUUGAAUACUCCAGUUUAAAAAAAGUAUGCCGACGAGAGAAUGCAUUGCAAAUAGGUGUACUCAGCUUUAAGCUUAGUGACAAACUCUUUGGAACAUCAAUCCCCCCGGUACAGACAUGAUCGAGUGCUUUUCCAACCUCAGUGAACUCGUAAUUAUUUUGAGGGAACAUCAACAAGGAGAUUGGCUUAAAAUAUCCUGAAUCACCAGCAGUACUCGAGCUUUCCAAUAUUCCCCUCACCAAACUACUGAUAGUGCUUGAUUUUCUAACUUCAUCAAGCUUAAGUAGAGCGGCAAGAACAACAUGUUCACCCUCCUCUGAGUAAGUAGAACCAGAGCCCACCAUGCAAAGCUUGCCGGUAGAUACUGACCAGAACCCUUCUACUUCAAAACUCAAAGGACCCCUCGGAGAUCUGUCGUCGUACAUGUAAAACUCCAUAUCCGAGGUUUUCAGGAUCAAACUCGCCUCAACCUUAAAGACACCAUCAACAUCAGUGCUAUAGACACUGUGGGUAUGAAUGAAUAGCUCUCUUCUGUUACUCGAUGGAUAAUGGUGAAGAGAUGAGUUUGGAUGAUUCAAUAUGUCAUCCCCACCUAGAAAGUACCCACCUUGGUCUGCAGCAAAAGGGAUGGUGGUGAAUUCUGGAACAUCAUUGGGAGUUGAUUCAGGGACAAUUGAGGCACAGUGUUUGUUGUAAUUAGGGAUGUCAAGUUUGGAGGAAGAGACCAUGGGGGUGUAAAAGGUGGUCGACAGGACCAGGAACAUUGCGACGUGAAGCCAUGAUAGAUAACACCAUGUGCUUGGAGAGGAAUUAGAGGUCAUCAUCAGAUAUUUCUUGGACUAUGAGGAUGGUAAGGCUGGUCUGAACAUCUGGUGGAAUGAAGCGGCGGAUAUUUACUAGACUAGAGGUAGCAGUCAUCCGGCAAAGUUUUCUUGCUUUUAAGAACCACGCAGGACUGAAAUCUACGCAAAUGGAGAACACAUCUGCUCCUGAUUAAGAUGAGUGACAACUGGGAGUACCGGGUCAUAUUUGAAGAGUAAACGCUGGUUGUGCUUGAUUUUUUAUUGAAUAAAUAAAAAUAGUAAAGUAUAAACUCAAUAAUUAUCAAAAUUCUUAUUAUAUAAAAAAAUUAUCUUAAUUUAAUAAUUUAAUUUAUUAAAUAAAAUUUAUAUUAUUCUCUAAUAUAUUAUUAAAAAUCAAACACAAUUAUAAAUAUAAAAAAAUUAUUAUUCAUGAAAUAAAUAAGCCAUGUCAAUUGUCUUGGGAUAGCACCAUAGAGUCAAUGGAUCUCUAACAACAAUUAGGAUUGGUGUUUGGUUAAAUUUAGAUGAGAUAGAUUUGAUAAUUUAUGUUUAACUCAUGAUUAAACACAAGUAUAUUAAGAUUAAUAAUUCACAAAAUUUAGUUAUUGAAUUCAAAUAUAUUGAAUUCGAUAUUUUGCUAGACUCAUGAUGAUUCUCUAGGCUCAAUAAAUAACUGAAUCUAAACAUAUUAAUUCUCAUAUUUCGCUAAAUUCAUGAUCCUCGAAGCUUAAUUCGUAGGUAAACUUAAGUAUAUUAGAUGUAGUAUUAUCAUCAUCAUGUUUAAUUGAGUUAUUAUCUUGUUACAAGGCUGAGCUCUUUUAACACAUAAAAAUAAAAAAUAAAAAUAAAAAUUGUCAUAACACAUGGUUUAUGCCAUAAUCAGUAUAGAUAUUCUUGGAUUUGUUGUUUGGGUCAUUAUAUGUUUAACGUAGACUUAGGCAUUGAUAAAUUCUUUUUUUCAUAAAUUCUUUUCUUAAAAUAGCAAAAAAAUAUGUUUAUAUACAAGUAAAAUAUCCUAAAUAGUGAAAUCCUUAUUAAAUUAAAAGUUUUUCUUAUUAAAUAAGAAUAGAAAUUCCUAAUUUUAACUUGAAAACGAAAACAACUAGCAAGCUAGCUGCUCCUGUGUAUAUAGAAUUUUAGAAAAAUCUAGAAAAAAUUAAAUCUGAUUUAAUAAUAGAACAAAAAAACUAUGCUUAUUUUUAACAAUUAAGAAAAAUAAGUAUCCAAGAAUAAUGAAAAUAGGGCCGCCGAAGUCGGUAGUCAAUGAAUCUUUGCACAUGGAGAGGUGUAACAUUUAUUAAUUAGUUCUGAAUCCAAUUGACAUAAAUUAAAUGCUACAUUUAAGGUGCAUCACGGGGCAUAUCGGAUUAUCAUGAUAAAACUGAUUAAAUUAAUUAAUCUAAAUGAAUUUCUACAUUAUUCAUCAAAAAAACAAAAAAAAAAUAAGAAAUUUAAAAUGUCAGAGAUUUCAUUUUCAGCAAAAGAGCAAAGACUUGGAACUUUCCAAGCAAAUCCAAGUCUACUCUACGCAAGUGAUAUGUCGUUGAGGUUUUGUAUAACAAGACAAAUGGAGUUGACCAUGGAGGUCUUGCGACCCAAUUUUUAUGCUAGGUUUUUUAAUAUAUAUAUAUAUUACUGAAAAAUAUUUUGUAGAUAUUCCAUAUUUGUUUUUUUAAAAUAUAUAUUUUUUAUAUUUUUUGCUGUAAAAAAUAUUAUAUAUUGAUCAAGAAAAAAUAUUUUAUAAUUAAUCUUUGAAACUUAAUUUAUUUAUUAAAAAUUAUUUUCAAAUUAUAAAGUCUCAUAAAGUAUUUUAAAAAUAAUAAUUAUUUUAUAAUAUCAUCUAAUAAUUUCAACUAUAUUGUCAUCAAUAUCUUAAUACCUUCUUUUUUUUUUUUAUCAUUACCACAAAUAUUUUUAUCUCAUCUCAUCUCAUUAUUACUAUUAUCAUCAUCUUAAUAUUUUUUUUAUAUUUGUAGCUGUAAAAUAUUUUAUAUUGAUUAAGAAAAAAUAUUUUAUUGUUAAUCUUCAAACUUAAUUUAUUUAUUAAAAAAUAUUUUCAACUCAUAAAAUAUUAUAAAAUAUUUAUAAAUAAUUAUUAUUUUACAAUAUCAUUUAACAAUUUCAAUUAAUAUCUCCAUUUCAUUAUCACCUUAUAAUCACCUUCUUCUUUUUCUAAUUUUUUUUAUUGUCAUCACCAUUUUAAUAUCACUUUUCUUUUUAUCAUUAUCACGAUUAUUUUUAUCUCAUCUUGUUAUUACUAUUAUCGCAACUAGAACCACCUUUUUUUUUAUUAUCGUUGAAUUAAUUUGGUGAUGAAUGCAGAAAUCGAUGUAUUGGCUCAUAGUAAGACGUGGUCUCUGGUUUAUUUUGAUCAGUCAAUGAAUAUUGUUUGCUGCAAGUGGGUGUUCAAUAUUAAACAGAAAGCUAAUGACUCUUAUUAAUUAGCAUUUUAAGGCUUUGUUUGGUAGCCAAAAGGUCUAAUCACAAAAAAAAAAAAAAAAACAUUUUGACUUUGAUGACACUUUCAGUGAUCUGGCAACCACUGCUUGAACCAAUUUGUUUCCUGCUUUUAUAUAUAAAAAAAAAUCCAGGACUUAACUGAACCGAGCUGAACCAAUUUGGUUUGAACAAAAUUUCAGUUUGCUCUAGUUUAUAUUUUUCCUAGUGCAAGCUUGAAAUUGCACGCAGUUGUUUAGCCUUGCAAUGUUUAUAUCUGUGCCUGUUGUAAAAUUUGAUGAUAUCCAGGUUAAAAACCUUAAAAUCUACACACACAUAUAAUGGUUACAUAAUUUAUCCACAAUGAACAGCGUUUUCAAUCAAAUAAUCAACUUGACGUUUUCCAAUUUCACAACAGAGCACAAAGACUUUCUACCAACGGAGUUAACACUUGCCAUCUAUCUUUUAAGUUCAACAGCAACGAUGAAAAUGGCCGAAAUCGUAUGAUGCUUCUCCGUAUUUCACCCCAAAUCUGAGCAAAGACUCAUGUUUAAUGGAGUUGAAGCUGUUAAAACGCACCUUCAUUUACUACAAACAGGAAGCUACAAAGCUUCAACUCAUGUUUAGUGCAUCUUGAAUUGCUAGAGCAUAUAAAUUGUCUUCCAGUCUACUUGUAAUUACGAAUGAAGAUAUGAUCAUGCAGGGAAGUCUUUGCAAGCAAGAGAUAUAUAAAGUCAGGAUUUGGAAUCGGCAGCAUUCACAACAUAAACCUUUUCGCUUCCACAGAUGUAUAUACACACAGGUAGAAACACUGUGUUGACAUGUAAAAUCACACAUGAAGAUUUAUUAGUCAUUUUAUAAAAUCACAUGCUCGCAAAAGUUUGAACCACAAAUUAUGCAUCACUAGCCACUGGUACUUCCUCGUAUCCUUCUAGCUCCUUGAAUCUUUUUGGCAGGAAACAACGACCACCGAAGCGCUGCUGCAGGUAGACGAUAGCAGCAAGAAGAAGGCCCACUAGAGGAAUAAUGAGAUCCCAUGCAGUGGAAUAAUAAUCUCCACCUGGGUUGGCAUACAUGUAUGAACCAUCAAAAUCUUCAACAUAGUAGUUAGCCCUGUAUAGAUCGUAUGCAU